CCGUCACUCCAAAUCCGUCUUG
rnacentral:siRNA from 1 species